rnacentral:tRNA from 1 species
GGGCGCAUAGCUCAGCUGGUCAGAGCGUCUGUUCUACACACAGAAGGUCCUCUGUUCAAAUCAGAGUGCGCCCAC